CACGUAGGGUGCGAGCGUUGUCCGGAAUUAUUGGGCGUAAAGAGCUCGUAGGCGGUGUGUCGCGUCGGCCGUGAAAACCUGCAGCUUAACUGUGGGCUUGCGGUCGAUACGGGCAUCACUGGAGUUCGGCAGGGGAGACUGGAAUUCCUGGUGUAGCGGUGAAAUGCGCAGAUAUCAGGAGGAACACCGGUGGCGAAGGCGGGACUCUGGGCCGAUACUGACGCUGAGGAGCGAAAGCGUGGGGAGCAAACAGG
rnacentral:rRNA from 1 species